rnacentral:rRNA from 1 species
UACGUAGGGGGCAAGCGUUGUCCGGAAUCAUUGGGCGUAAAGGGCGCGUAGGCGGCCAUCUUUGUCAGGCGUGAAAGCCCUGGGCUCAACCUGGGAAUUGCGCUUGGGACGGGGUGGCUUGAGAUCGGGAGAGGAGAGUGGAAUUCCCAGUGUAGAGGUGAAAUUCGUAGAUAUUGGGAAGAACACCGGUGGCGAAGGCGGCUCUCUGGACCGACACUGACGCUGAGGCGCGAAAGCGUGGGGAGCAAACAGG